rnacentral:tmRNA from 1 species
GGGGUCGAUCCGGCUUCGACGUGGGUUUGAACCAGAGCAGGGCAUGUCGAGCACCAGUAAGCUCGUAAAUCCACUGGAAAACCAUAAACGCCAACGACGAGCGUUUCGCUCUGGCCGCUUAAGCGGUGAGCCGCUGCACUGAUUUGUCUUUGGGUCAGGUAGGGUAAAACUUACAGCAGCGUCAUUUACAAAGAAUCGGGUCUGGCCAGGUCACUGGGCCAGCUCUUAAAUCCAAAGUGAAUCGCCAAGGCAGGGCCAGUCGGCCGGCAUGCGCCAAGGUUAAAACUUAAAAUAGUCCGACUAAACAUGUAGAACUGCCUGCAGAUGGCUUGCGGACGCGGGUUCAAUUCCCGCCGACUCCACCA